rnacentral:rRNA from 1 species
GGACUACUGGGGUUUCUAAUCCUGUUUGCUACCCACGCUUUCGUGUCUCAGCGUCAGUCAUGGUCCAGUAAGCUGUCUACACCACAGGUGUUCCUCCUGAUAUCUACGCAUUUCACCGCUACACCAGGAAUUCCGCUUACCUCUCCCAUACUCUAGCAUUCCAGUCUCCGCCGCACCCUCCCAGUUGAGCCGGGAGAUUUCACAACAGACUUAGAACACCGCCUACACACUCUUUACGCCCAGUAAUUCCGAACAACGCUUGCUGCCUACGUAUUACCGCGGCUGCUGGCAC